rnacentral:rRNA from 1 species
GACGAACGCUGGCGGCGUGCUUAACACAUGCAAGUCGAACGCUGAGGCUCAGCUUUUGUUGGGUGGAUGAGUGGCGAACGGGUGAGUAACACGUGAGUAACCUGCCUCCUUCUUUGGGAUAACGCCCGGAAACGGGUGCUAAUACUGGAUAUUCACUGGUCUUCGCAUGGGGGUUGGUGGAAAGGGUUUUUCUGGUGGGGGAUGGGCUCGCGGCCUAUCAGCUUGUUGGUGGGGUGAUGGCCUACCAAGGCUUUGACGGGUAGCCGGCCUGAGAGGGUGACCGGUCACAUUGGGACUGAGAUACGGCCCAGACUCCUACGGGAGGCAGCAGUGGGGAAUAUUGCACAAUGGGCGCAAGCCUGAUGCAGCGACGCUGCGUGAGGGAUGGAGGCCUUCGGGUUGUGAACCUCUUUCGCUCAUGGUCAAGCCGCGACAAUGGUUGUGGUGAGGGUAGUGGGUAAAGAAGCGCCGGCUAACUACGUG